rnacentral:rRNA from 1 species
AUGAGUUGUUUUCACCUCGCAAAGAAGACGUGCCGGAACGUGACUUCGAUCUCUUCAAAAUUCUGGUGGGGUGCAACAAAUGGCGAACGGAAAGUACAUUGGCUCUCGUGGGAGAAGAUAUGUGCCCCUAAGAGGGAGGGCGGCUUGGGGUUCCGGGACCCGCAAGCUUUCAACCAGGCCCUGCUUGCCAAGCAAGCAUGGCGGCUCUUAACUUCACCAGCAUCGCUGGUUGCUCGUUUUUUGAAGGCUAGGUAUUUCCAGGACUCCUCCAUCCUUGCUGCCACUUGCCCCUCAAAUGCUUCAUACACCUUUCGUAGCAUCUUACAUGGAAGGGAUUUGCUGCGGGAGGGGCUUGUUUGGAGGAUUGCUGAUGGGUCUAGGGUCAACAUACAUCACGAAAAUUGGAUCCCGAGGAACGGGUGCCUGCGACCACUGGGUCAGCAGUACCUCCAGGGAGUUACAAGAGUUGCGGAUCUGUUAACUAAAGAUGGCACGGACUGGAACGUUGCGAGGGUGGAUGAGAUGUUCUCGCCCUCGGAUGCUGCUGAUAUUAAGCAAAUCGCUGUGGGUGGACCGGGCACAGACGAUUUUUUUCACAAAAAAUGGCGCGUUCAGUGUUAG